rnacentral:rRNA from 1 species
AUUGAACGCUGGCGGAAUGCUUUACACAUGCAAGUCGAACGGCAGCACGGACUUCGGUCUGGUGGCGAGUGGCGAACGGGUGAGUAAUGUAUCGGAACGUGCCCAGUCGUGGAGGAUAACGUAGUGAAAAUUACGCUAAUACCGCAUACGAUCUAUGGAUGAAAGCGGGGGACCGUAAGGCCUCGCGCGAUUGGAGCGGCCGAUAUCAGAUUAGGUAGUUGGUGGGGUAAAGGCUCACCAAGCCGACGAUCUGUAGCUGGUCUGAGAGGACGACCAGCCACACUGGAACUGAGACACGGUCCAGACUCCUACGGGAGGCAGCAGUGGGGAAUUUUGGACAAUGGGCGCAAGCCUGAUCCAGCCAUUCCGCGUGCAGGAUGAAGGCCCUCGGGUUGUAAACUGCUUUUGUACGGAACGAAAAGGUCCUGGUAAAUACCUGGGGCUCAUGACGGUACCGUAAGAAUAAGCACCGGCUAACUACGUGCCAGCCGCCGCCGUAA